UACAGAGGGUGCGAGCGUUAAUCGGAAUUACUGGGCGUAAAGCGUGCGUAGACGGCUAUCUAAGUCGGGUGUGAAAGCCCCGGGCUCAACCUGGGAACUGCAUUUGAAACUGGCGGGCUUGAGUGUGGCAGAGGGGGGUGGAAUUCCGCGUGUAGCAGUGAAAUGCGUAGAGAUGCGGAGGAACACCGAUGGCGAAGGCAGCCCCCUGGGCCAACACUGACGCUCAGGCACGAAAGCGUGGGGAGCAAACAGG
rnacentral:rRNA from 1 species